rnacentral:lncRNA from 1 species
AGGCACCCGAGGCCCGAGGUGCCAGCCGUAGAGGAGAGAACCCAACGCAAUUCCAUAUGUUCAAGAGGCAGAUCCAGGGAGACACUGUGCAGUAGGAGAGAAAUAUGAGAACCCCAAUCUCAGGAUUCAAGGUCUGGGGAUCACUGAAGGAAAGGCUCUGUAAACUCCUGUUCGUUUCUUCCCUGCACAGCUGCAAGAUCACAAGACAGAGACGCAUAACCUGCAAACCAAGUUUUCCCAGACAUGUAAGACAUGUUGCAAAAGUGUCACAGCAGCCUUUGUUCUCGCUUCUGUAAGCCUGCUUCCUGCUUCACGUAGUGCCCGCCUCAAAGUGCUUAAACUCGUUUUAUUUGUUCUAGGCUCAGACUCUCAGGACACAUGUCCGCUGAGCCGGUGUACACAUUAAAUAAACACUUUCUUGCACUCCGUUCAGUCUC